CAGUUGUCGUCAGAUUUCGUUGGUGAUUUCAAAUAUGAAAUUUAAUUGUAAGCCUAGUGAACAGUUUUGGAGAAUUUGAUGUUUCCCCAUUCAAAUAGAUGGGAGCUGCACUUGGAUGCCGGAGAGGCGUUUCAAAGAUGGCCGCCGAGUGACAUGACUUCUCUUAAAAGAGACUUUGUUACUACUCAGGCCUACUGAACAAAGAAAUUCAUGCAGGUUUGGAACAACACCAGGGUGGUGUAGCAUGUGUGAAAUAGUGCAGGGUGCAGAAGAUGGAAGCAGAUUUUUAAACCUUAGAUCUCAUUCAGACUGACAUCAAAGAUGAACUCAAGGGAAAUUCGAACAAUGGGAAAUAAAAGAGAUAACUUACAAGAAAGAAACUACAGAGCAAAUAAAUAUAUUGAACUGAGAAGUUGAAGGCCUAACAAGUCAAGUUCAAAGCUACUAUUUUAGAUGCAGCUGUGUCUUCAUGGUUAGUGGAUAGUGCUUCUGAAUUCAGCACCAUGGACAGUUACUCUACAAUUCAGUGGUUUAUUCAAACACACUCGACAGACAUCAUUAUUAUCUUUCAUCCGCUGUAGUUACAUAAGAUGGCAC